GACGAACGCUGGCGGCGUGCUUAACACAUGCAAGUCGAACGGAAAGGCCCUGCUUUUGUGGGGUGCUCGAGUGGCGAACGGGUGAGUAACACGUGAGUAACCUGCCCUUGACUUUGGGAUAACUUCAGGAAACUGGGGCUAAUACCGGAUAGGAGCUCCUGCUGCAUGGUGGGGGUUGGAAAGUUUCGGCGGUUGGGGAUGGACUCGCGGCUUAUCAGCUUGUUGGUGGGGUAGUGGCUUACCAAGGCUUUGACGGGUAGCCGGCCUGAGAGGGUGACCGGCCACAUGGGGACUGAGAUACGGCCCAGACCCCUCCGGGGGGCAGCAGGGGGGAAUAUUGCACAAGGGGCGGAAGCCUGAUGCAGCAACGCCGGGGGCGGGAUGACGGCCUUCGGGUUGUAACCCGCUUUCGCCUGUGACGAAGCGGGGGUGACGGGAAUGGGUAAAGAAGCACCGGCUAACUACGU
rnacentral:rRNA from 1 species